rnacentral:rRNA from 1 species
UACGUAGGGUCCGAGCGUUGUCCGGAUUUAUUGGGCGUAAAGCGCUCGCAGGUGGUUCGUUGCGUCGUGCGUGAAAGACCCCGGCUCAACUGGGGGGUGUCGUGCGAUACGGGCGGACUGGAGGCCAGUAGGGGGAUGCGGAAUUCCGGGUGUAGUGGUGGAAUGCGUAGAGAUCCGGAGGAACACCAGCGGCGAAGGCGGCAUCCUGGACUGGUCCUGACACUCAUGAGCGAAAGCGUGGGGAGCGAGUCCGG